GGAGAGAUGGCUGAGCGGUUUAAAGCACUUGCCUGCUAAGCAAGAGCCUGGGUAAUUCCGGGCGCGAGGGUUCGAAUCCCUCUCUCUCCACCA
rnacentral:tRNA from 1 species